AACAAAAAUUUGGUUGAUAGUUUGCCUCAUAUUACUACUUUUGAUAGUGGAACAUUAUGCGAAUGGUGUCAAUAUGGUAAGGCGCAUCGUCUUCCAUUUGAUAGAUCCCAAAACAAGAUACGAGGCACCACUAGAACUCAUUCACAGUGAUGUGAUGGGUCCUACACGUACACCUACCUUCUCUGGUUAUCGCUAUAUGGUGGUAUUUG
rnacentral:lncRNA from 1 species